CUGGCGGCGUGCCUAAUACAUGCAAGUCGAACGCUUCUUUCCUCCCGAGCGCUUGCACUCAAUUGGAAAGAGGAGUGGCGGACGGGUGAGUAACACGUGGGUAACCUACCCAUCAGAGGGGGAUAACACUUGGAAACAGGUGCUAAUACCGCAUAACAGUUUAUGCCGCAUGGCAUAAGAGUGAAAGGCGCUUUCGGGUGUCGCUGAUGGAUGGACCCGCGGUGCAUUAGCCAGUUGGUGAGGUAACGGCUCACCAAGGCCACGAUGCAUAGCCGACCUGAGAGGGUGAUCGGCCACACUGGGACUGAGACACGGCCCAGACUCCUACGGGAGGCAGCAGUAGGGAAUCUUCGGCAAUGGACGAAAGUCUGACCGAGCAACGCCGCGUGAGUGAAGAAGGUUUUCGGAUCGUAAAACUCUGUUGUUAGAGAAGAACAAGGACGUUAGUAACUGAACGUCCCCUGACGGUAUCUAACCAGAAAGCCACGGCUAACUACGUGCCAGCAGCCGCGGUAAUACGUAGGUGGCAAGCGUUGUCCGGAUUUAUUGGGCGUAAAGCGAGCGCAGGCGGUUUCUUAAGUCUGAUGUGAAAGCCCCCGGCUCAACCGGGGAGGGUCAUUGGAAACUGGGAGACUUGAGUGCAGAAGAGGAGAGUGGAAUUCCAUGUGUAGCGGUGAAAUGCGUAGAUAUAUGGAGGGACACCAGUGGCGAAGGCGGCUCUCUGGUCUGUAACUGACGCUGAGGCUCGA
rnacentral:rRNA from 1 species